rnacentral:rRNA from 1 species
CCUACGGGUGGCAGCAGUGGGGAAUAUUGGACAAUGGGCGAAAGCCUGAUCCAGCCAUGCCGCGUGUGUGAAGAAGGCCUUCGGGUUGUAAAGCACUUUCAGUGGGGAAGAAAGCCUUGGGGCUAAUACCCUCGAGGAAGGACAUCACCCACAGAAGAAGCACCGGCUAACUCCGUGCCAGCAGCCGCGGUAAUACGGAGGGGGCGAGCGUUAAUCGGAAUUACUGGGCGUAAAGCGCGCGUAGGCGGUCUGAUAAGCCGGUUGUGAAAGCCCCGGGCUCAACCUGGGAACGGCAUCCGGAACUGUCAGGCUAGAGUGCAGGAGAGGAAGGUAGAAUUCCCGGUGUAGCGGUGAAAUGCGUAGAGAUCGGGAGGAAUACCAGUGGCGAAGGCGGCCUUCUGGACUGACACUGACGCUGAGGUGCGAAAGCGUGGGUAGCAAACAGGAUUAGAUACCCGUGUAGUC